CAAUAUUGAUAUUUUCUAGGGAGAGAUUUACAUGUAUUCUCCAGACAACAGUCUUAUCUAUUUGUCAAAUUCAAAAAGUUUGUGCAUCUGCAAGAUCAUAUGAAAGUGAAAUUGCGAAAAAGUUAUAGUAGUAGUCUCAUUGUUUCACGCAUGAUUGCUACUCCGUUGUUUCAAGCUGUACGCUUCCUUAUGUGCACUUUGAUUUGCAGGGGAACUGAUGUGAGCAUAGAAAACAUGCAUCAAGGGUUCACGCAUGUCUUUGAGUCCACAUUCGAAAGCACAGAAGGAAUCAAGGAGUACAUUGAGCACCCUGCACAUGUUGAAUUCGCAAAUGAGUUCUUGCCUGUAUUGGAGAAGGCCCUCAUAAUUGAUUACAAACCGACUUCUGUCAAUUAAUGGUGGACUAUGGAGAACCUGGGGGAGCUUUUCUCAAUUCUCAUCAUCAAUAUCCUUGUACUGUUUCUCAGAGAAUUCCAUUUGAUUCUACAAUAUACACUUUGUGUUGAAUAAGUCGGUUCUGCUUGGUUUCCUUGUUGAGAAUAAAUUGAGUUUCCUGUAACUGCAGUUGUAAUAACUUUGAACUUUUUUUUGUUCGUAUCAGAAUUACGUUUCCAAAGACUCCUAUACUGUCUGCUAUCUGUGCAUAUAAGCUCCAGUAGAAGCUGCGAGUGCGUAUUUUUCCUUUUAACCUUUUGAGCAUCAUGAUUGUGAUCAAUUGCGGUCUAAAAUUUAUGAUCCUAUUAUAUAUCUAUGUGCAUUACCUAUUACUUGUCUAGUUGUCUAAUAAAGCGUCUAACAUGGUAUUCCCAGAUGCAUUUUCCGUUCGCUGCUUGGAAGCUGCUGGACGAGAAAUUAACAUGUUUAUGUGACCAUGUCCUUCAGGAAAACACAAACUCAACGAUCUCUGUUUUCUGCAGAUUUACUGUACUGCUGAAACCAAUCGCUCUUAUCCUACUUUAGCAUGUUUUACGUGGUCUGUGGACUGUGGUAAUACCAACCGUGCCAUGCGUAUGAAUUUGGGCUUGACACUUGACAUGAACCAUAUAUUUUGUUCUUUUCGACAGCUUAAAACACUUACACGUUUAAACACCGAAAGCUGAACUUCUAAUGUUUGCUUGUUUGAGCUGCAACUUUUGGACUUUUCUGUAAAGCCGGUGCUACUUUUUUUUUAUGAAAGGCCAACCAUAACUUUUAGAAUAUGCGUUUAGGUUUUUGUACCAAAAAGCUACGAAAAGCUCAGAAAAUUGAGCUUUUCAGCUUUCAAUAUAAACUCAGGUUUUCUAAACUUCUAACUUUUUGAAAGCUGCAUGAGAAGUUUCUUGUUUGUUUGAGUUUCUAGCUUUUGACACUGAGAAGUUGUCAGGAAGCACAAACAAAUAAGGUCUAAAAAUCAUAAUACACUGCUUCAGAUGUGAGCUACCAAGAAUCUCUGCAUUAUGAAACCUGGUGACGACAAUAGCAUAUUGUUGAAUUAGUACGAGUGAGCACUUCCACAGUUCGUUCUAAAGAAAAGCACUUCCACAGUUCCAAGCAUGUCCUGAGCUGACGAAUUCACCUACCUCGGCAUGGAAUGGCCCGUAGACUUUCACUCGAGUAAUAAUUUUUUUUAAAAGGGGAGAGCUUAUACUAAAUUAACAAAACAUGUUUACAAUCAAAAUCUAAAACUGCCGACGCGCAGGCCAAGACACCUUAAGAAACAAAAUCAGAUGAGAGCUCUCUCCUACCAAGCUGUCCUAGUUCAUGAGCCACUCCAUUUGCACUUCGAUCGCACUUUAAAACUUUGAAACACUGGAACAUUCUCAGCAUUUUUUUACUUCUUCAAUGAUGAUGGAGCUAGGGGAUCGAUUUAGAGUACCGUCAUUGAACGCUUGUACUGUGAGGCAGUCCAGCUCCAGCCAAAUAGGUCCCAUGAAAACAGAGCAGGCUCUGUUGAUGCCUAUCAAGGCUGCAAGACAUUCAACUUCUUCAGCCGAAGAGCAUAAGCGAUCGCCGCACCAACCUGAAAAGGCAACUUCACCCAAGUGAUUCCUAGCAAUAAAACCUAGACCAGGAUGUUGUGUGUUAGGAUCAAAGCCAGCAUGUCGUGUGCAGGAAUCCGCCGCCAGGCGGUGGUGCCCAUGCCAUGAGCAGGCCAGCAACUUCGAAGGAAACAUGCUGCAAAGCCAAAGGAAUAUGUAUCUCGGCAUAUGUGGCAGUCGGCCCGCGAAACAUUGCGAACCAUGAAAACCGUUCAACCCGGCGGUUCCGAACCGCCUAGCUGGCUCCCUCAUGGUUUGGUUGGGUUUUAACCAAUAACCGGUGAAACCGGACCAUGUACAGGGCUUACCUUUGGGUUUCUCGCGGCCGGCGUUAGGUAGGCGGCCGUCCUACUCGCCACUGAAUAUGAUUGUCUAGAAACUAUUUUAUUAAAAGAAAAAUAUAUGAGAUGCAAUAAUUACUUAAGUAGAAGCAAGUACUACCCAUAUUUGAUGUUGGGUAGUUCAAAAAUAAACUAAGCAAUGUGUGCGUUCGGAGUCAAACGACCUGUUCAGCUGGACUUAUAAGCCGGCUGAAAAGCUGAAACGGCUGAUUUGUUGUGAGAGAAAAACACUGUUCGGUGGCUGAUAAGCCGGCUGAUAGGUUGAAGCGAACAGGCUUAAAGAAUUUUAUCAAACGUCUUCACCUUGGUAUUACUAAAAUCCUCCCCCCAUCUUUAAAUAUAAGAUGUUAGUAAUUGUCCUUAACAUCAUAUAACGGAGGGAGGAGGGAGGUAGUCUGUGCGAUGGACCACCCGAUCCGACCCGCACAAGUUCAGGCUGGAACCGGAUCCGGCCAGUUCGCUGCAGGUCAACUCACGAUGAUCCUAGAAUCGUCCACCUCGUGAUCGGCGAAUCCGCUGUCUACGCGCUAAACUGCCCGGGAGUAACGAUCCGGUCACCAAAUCAUCUCAGCUCGAGCAAUUCGCUCUCACCACGUAUAAAGCAGUGGCCAAGAAGCCAAGCCAAGCAGCAGCAGAGCAUCCUACCUACCACGACCAAACAGAGGAGGUGAGGGGCCUCGAGCGAAGAAGCCCGGAGGCAUGGCGGCUGGUGGCGGCGGCGGCGUGGUGAAGCACAUCCUGCUGGCGCGCUUCAAGGAGGACGUGACGCCGGAGCGAUUGGACCAGCUCAUCCGGGGCUACGACAGGCUCGUGGGCGUUGUCCCCCCCAUGAAGGCCUUCCACUGGUAAAGCGCGCUGCACCCACCUACCCACCUCCAGGACGACUUGAGAUCUCAACACGAUUCCAUUGCUGGCUGUUCACUGUUGUGUAUGCGGUAUGCCUCUGCUUCCUGUGGGCGAUUAGUAUCUACCUGUUUGGGCGCCGUCCCUGUGAGACUCCGUGAGGACUACGCACCCAAGGUGCUCGAGGAAUUGGCUGACUGCCUGGCUUAGUUUAUCUUGACUGAAACAUGAUUUGGCAUUUUGUGUUUCCCCGUGCACGAUCAGUGACUGCGAUCGAUGGCCCUGUGAUUUCUCCUAGUUCCCUGGUCCAGAUAUCCAUAGCUGAUUUAACUAAAUAAUAGCCAAACCAGCAUGUACUACUAGGUGCCUACCACCUCUAUUUCUUAUCCCAGAGCAUAUUACAACGAACAAUAUUGAUAUUUUCUAGGGAGAGAUUUACAUGUAUUCUCCAGACAACAGUCUUAUCUAUUUGUCAAAUUCAAAAAGUUUGUGCAUCUGCAAGAUCAUAUGAAAGUGAAAUUGCGAAAAAGUUAUAGUAGUAGUCUCAUUGUUUCACGCAUGAUUGCUACUCCGUUGUUUCAAGCUGUACGCUUCCUUAUGUGCACUUUGAUUUGCAGGGGAACUGAUGUGAGCAUAGAAAACAUGCAUCAAGGGUUCACGCAUGUCUUUGAGUCCACAUUCGAAAGCACAGAAGGAAUCAAGGAGUACAUUGAGCACCCUGCACAUGUUGAAUUCGCAAAUGAGUUCUUGCCUGUAUUGGAGAAGGCCCUCAUAAUUGAUUACAAACCGACUUCUGUCAAUUAAUGGUGGACUAUGGAGAACCUGGGGGAGCUUUUCUCAAUUCUCAUCAUCAAUAUCCUUGUACUGUUUCUCAGAGAAUUCCAUUUGAUUCUACAAUAUACACUUUGUGUUGAAUAAGUCGGUUCUGCUUGGUUUCCUUGUUGAGAAUAAAUUGAGUUUCCUGUAACUGCAGUUGUAAUAACUUUGAACUUUUUUUUGUUCGUAUCAGAAUUACGUUUCCAAAGACUCCUAUACUGUCUGCUAUCUGUGCAUAUAAGCUCCAGUAGAAGCUGCGAGUGCGUAUUUUUCCUUUUAACCUUUUGAGCAUCAUGAUUGUGAUCAAUUGCGGUCUAAAAUUUAUGAUCCUAUUAUAUAUCUAUGUGCAUUACCUAUUACUUGUCUAGUUGUCUAAUAAAGCGUCUAACAUGGUAUUCCCAGAUGCAUUUUCCGUUCGCUGCUUGGAAGCUGCUGGACGAGAAAUUAACAUGUUUAUGUGACCAUGUCCUUCAGGAAAACACAAACUCAACGAUCUCUGUUUUCUGCAGAUUUACUGUACUGCUGAAACCAAUCGCUCUUAUCCUACUUUAGCAUGUUUUACGUGGUCUGUGGACUGUGGUAAUACCAACCGUGCCAUGCGUAUGAAUUUGGGCUUGACACUUGACAUGAACCAUAUAUUUUGUUCUUUUCGACAGCUUAAAACACUUACACGUUUAAACACCGAAAGCUGAACUUCUAAUGUUUGCUUGUUUGAGCUGCAACUUUUGGACUUUUCUGUAAAGCCGGUGCUACUUUUUUUUUAUGAAAGGCCAACCAUAACUUUUAGAAUAUGCGUUUAGGUUUUUGUACCAAAAAGCUACGAAAAGCUCAGAAAAUUGAGCUUUUCAGCUUUCAAUAUAAACUCAGGUUUUCUAAACUUCUAACUUUUUGAAAGCUGCAUGAGAAGUUUCUUGUUUGUUUGAGUUUCUAGCUUUUGACACUGAGAAGUUGUCAGGAAGCACAAACAAAUAAGGUCUAAAAAUCAUAAUACACUGCUUCAGAUGUGAGCUACCAAGAAUCUCUGCAUUAUGAAACCUGGUGACGACAAUAGCAUAUUGUUGAAUUAGUACGAGUGAGCACUUCCACAGUUCGUUCUAAAGAAAAGCACUUCCACAGUUCCAAGCAUGUCCUGAGCUGACGAAUUCACCUACCUCGGCAUGGAAUGGCCCGUAGACUUUCACUCGAGUAAUAAUUUUUUUUAAAAGGGGAGAGCUUAUACUAAAUUAACAAAACAUGUUUACAAUCAAAAUCUAAAACUGCCGACGCGCAGGCCAAGACACCUUAAGAAACAAAAUCAGAUGAGAGCUCUCUCCUACCAAGCUGUCCUAGUUCAUGAGCCACUCCAUUUGCACUUCGAUCGCACUUUAAAACUUUGAAACACUGGAACAUUCUCAGCAUUUUUUUACUUCUUCAAUGAUGAUGGAGCUAGGGGAUCGAUUUAGAGUACCGUCAUUGAACGCUUGUACUGUGAGGCAGUCCAGCUCCAGCCAAAUAGGUCCCAUGAAAACAGAGCAGGCUCUGUUGAUGCCUAUCAAGGCUGCAAGACAUUCAACUUCUUCAGCCGAAGAGCAUAAGCGAUCGCCGCACCAACCUGAAAAGGCAACUUCACCCAAGUGAUUCCUAGCAAUAAAACCUAGACCAGGAUGUUGUGUGUUAGGAUCAAAGCCAGCAUGUCGUGUGCAGGAAUCCGCCGCCAGGCGGUGGUGCCCAUGCCAUGAGCAGGCCAGCAACUUCGAAGGAAACAUGCUGCAAAGCCAAAGGAAUAUGUAUCUCGGCAUAUGUGGCAGUCGGCCCGCGAAACAUUGCGAACCAUGAAAACCGUUCAACCCGGCGGUUCCGAACCGCCUAGCUGGCUCCCUCAUGGUUUGGUUGGGUUUUAACCAAUAACCGGUGAAACCGGACCAUGUACAGGGCUUACCUUUGGGUUUCUCGCGGCCGGCGUUAGGUAGGCGGCCGUCCUACUCGCCACUGAAUAUGAUUGUCUAGAAACUAUUUUAUUAAAAGAAAAAUAUAUGAGAUGCAAUAAUUACUUAAGUAGAAGCAAGUACUACCCAUAUUUGAUGUUGGGUAGUUCAAAAAUAAACUAAGCAAUGUGUGCGUUCGGAGUCAAACGACCUGUUCAGCUGGACUUAUAAGCCGGCUGAAAAGCUGAAACGGCUGAUUUGUUGUGAGAGAAAAACACUGUUCGGUGGCUGAUAAGCCGGCUGAUAGGUUGAAGCGAACAGGCUUAAAGAAUUUUAUCAAACGUCUUCACCUUGGUAUUACUAAAAUCCUCCCCCCAUCUUUAAAUAUAAGAUGUUAGUAAUUGUCCUUAACAUCAUAUAACGGAGGGAGGAGGGAGGUAGUCUGUGCGAUGGACCACCCGAUCCGACCCGCACAAGUUCAGGCUGGAACCGGAUCCGGCCAGUUCGCUGCAGGUCAACUCACGAUGAUCCUAGAAUCGUCCACCUCGUGAUCGGCGAAUCCGCUGUCUACGCGCUAAACUGCCCGGGAGUAACGAUCCGGUCACCAAAUCAUCUCAGCUCGAGCAAUUCGCUCUCACCACGUAUAAAGCAGUGGCCAAGAAGCCAAGCCAAGCAGCAGCAGAGCAUCCUACCUACCACGACCAAACAGAGGAGGUGAGGGGCCUCGAGCGAAGAAGCCCGGAGGCAUGGCGGCUGGUGGCGGCGGCGGCGUGGUGAAGCACAUCCUGCUGGCGCGCUUCAAGGAGGACGUGACGCCGGAGCGAUUGGACCAGCUCAUCCGGGGCUACGACAGGCUCGUGGGCGUUGUCCCCCCCAUGAAGGCCUUCCACUGGUAAAGCGCGCUGCACCCACCUACCCACCUCCAGGACGACUUGAGAUCUCAACACGAUUCCAUUGCUGGCUGUUCACUGUUGUGUAUGCGGUAUGCCUCUGCUUCCUGUGGGCGAUUAGUAUCUACCUGUUUGGGCGCCGUCCCUGUGAGACUCCGUGAGGACUACGCACCCAAGGUGCUCGAGGAAUUGGCUGACUGCCUGGCUUAGUUUAUCUUGACUGAAACAUGAUUUGGCAUUUUGUGUUUCCCCGUGCACGAUCAGUGACUGCGAUCGAUGGCCCUGUGAUUUCUCCUAGUUCCCUGGUCCAGAUAUCCAUAGCUGAUUUAACUAAAUAAUAGCCAAACCAGCAUGUACUACUAGGUGCCUACCACCUCUAUUUCUUAUCCCAGAGCAUAUUACAACGAACAAUAUUGAUAUUUUCUAGGGAGAGAUUUACAUGUAUUCUCCAGACAACAGUCUUAUCUAUUUGUCAAAUUCAAAAAGUUUGUGCAUCUGCAAGAUCAUAUGAAAGUGAAAUUGCGAAAAAGUUAUAGUAGUAGUCUCAUUGUUUCACGCAUGAUUGCUACUCCGUUGUUUCAAGCUGUACGCUUCCUUAUGUGCACUUUGAUUUGCAGGGGAACUGAUGUGAGCAUAGAAAACAUGCAUCAAGGGUUCACGCAUGUCUUUGAGUCCACAUUCGAAAGCACAGAAGGAAUCAAGGAGUACAUUGAGCACCCUGCACAUGUUGAAUUCGCAAAUGAGUUCUUGCCUGUAUUGGAGAAGGCCCUCAUAAUUGAUUACAAACCGACUUCUGUCAAUUAAUGGUGGACUAUGGAGAACCUGGGGGAGCUUUUCUCAAUUCUCAUCAUCAAUAUCCUUGUACUGUUUCUCAGAGAAUUCCAUUUGAUUCUACAAUAUACACUUUGUGUUGAAUAAGUCGGUUCUGCUUGGUUUCCUUGUUGAGAAUAAAUUGAGUUUCCUGUAACUGCAGUUGUAAUAACUUUGAACUUUUUUUUGUUCGUAUCAGAAUUACGUUUCCAAAGACUCC
rnacentral:lncRNA from 1 species